CCCAAGACAGAAUGAGGGUGGACUCGAACCCAUGGCUUCAAGUUACAAGAAAGGAGAUUCUGACUAAAUAUCAGGAGGAACAUUCUGACAGUCAGAGCUGUUCGACUGUGGGAUGGAAGCGGGUGGCCUCUCCUUCCUUGGAGGUUUCUAAGCAGAUGCUGGACGGUCAUCUGUCAUGGAUACUUUAGCUGUGGUUCCGGCUUUGCUGGGGGUUAGACUAGAUGACCUUUGGUGUCCCUUCCAGCUCUGCCGUUCUAUGAUUCUACCUUUCUACCAUGUUUUCUUCAGAUUCUCCUCCUGAUUCCAGAACUGGCCCUGUCACAGGCACCACAGAACACCUGCUCCGCCUUCGGAGUAGUGGCACCUGCACUCUGGAACUCCCUGCCACUUGACACCAGGCAGGUGCCUUCCCUGUACUCCUUUCCACACCUGCUAAGAACAUUUUUCCCUACCCAGACACGGACGGUGCCAGUGUACGUUUUAAUCUGUUUUCAUUUCAUUGCUGACUUUAUUUCUGAGUGUUUUAAAGAGCUGUGUUUACCGAUUAUUUCAUUGUUUCCUCCUCCUUGCGGACUGCUGCGCAGCUGUUGUGUUUUACAAUCGAGCCGUGUCUAAAUUUCACGGAAUAAAGCCAAAAAGCCCAGAGUCUCCCGCUGCACUUUCCAAGUUCGCCAGAGGACGGUUUCUCCAGACAUCUCUUUUUCAGAGCGUCAUCUGAAGAGAUGGCGAAGAGACUGGCCAUCACUGCCUUGCCCGACAUUUGCCUUUGCUGCGGUCAGCCUCCUCUGGAGUAAAGCCGUGGCAGCCAGCUGCCUGCCAGCUGCCCCUUCCCCUCUGAACUGCAGUUAAGCCGGGCUCCUCCAGGACAAGGCCAGCGCCAGAUUGUCACUUAACUCUGCUUUGCAUUCAUCUACUUAAGCCUAGAUGGUUCCUUUCUUGCUGUGCUUUGUAAUAUAGAAUUUAUUCCAUGUUUGCCUUUGCUGUCAUUUGAGUUUACCGACAUGCUCCGUGUUUUGUCUCUUUGAAUUUCCAAGGCUCUGUGUUUCGAUGUUUUGAAUGUUUGCUGGAAUCAGCUGAGGGAGCAGCUCCUGCUUAGAAAGCAGCAUCUAAGUAAACUCAGUCCGUCCGUCCGUCAAUCAAUCAAUCAAUCAAUCAAUCAUCUUUGCUAAUGCCCCAGAGGUCUGGAGGGAGGGGGGAAUGGAGGGCUGUCCCUUCCCUUCCCUCCCCCUCCCCUUUUAUGAAGAUCACCCGCUCUGGGAUCCCACAGCUAAUUCUCCCCUGGUCUCCUCGCUGGCCCAAGUAGGAG